rnacentral:rRNA from 1 species
GUGCCAGCCGCCGCGGUAAUACGUAGGUGGCGAGCGUUGUCCGGAAUUACUGGGUGUAAAGGGCGUGUAGGCGGGGGAGCAAGUCAGAUGUGAAAUUCCGAGGCUUAACUUCGGCGCUGCAUCUGAAACUGUUUCUCUUGAGUGCUGGAGAGGAAAGUGGAAUUCCCAGUGUAGCGGUGAAAUGCGUAGAGAUUGGGAGGAACACCAGUGGCGAAGGCGGCUUUCUGGACAGUAACUGACGCUGAGGCGCGAAAGCGUGGGGAGCAAACAGGAUUAGAUACCCUGGUAGUCCACGCUGUAAACGAUGGAUACUAGGUGUGGGAGGUAUCGACCCCUUCCGUGCCGGAGUUAACACAAUAAGUAUCCCACCUGGGGAGUACGGCCGCAAGGUUGAAACUCAAAUGAAUUGACGG